CUCUACCAUCACAUCGUAAUCUUUAUCUGUCAUCCUAAGCGAUUAUUUAACCGACAAUCUUCAAUUUCCCGAUUGAUUACGUGACUAUUUCAAUACCAACAAAUCUUUUUAUAACCCUUCAAGAAAAUGUCCCUAAAAGGAUUUUUCGAAAUUCGAAUUAUUUUCGGAGUUACAGUUCAUUUUGUGACGCGCCGACAAAACCGUUUCGCAGCCGGGUCGAGUUACUGAGGCUUCCAAGGAAGCUGGAACUGCUAAAUCAUCUGAAAGAGCUUCACUAAACAUGACAUUUGAAGUCAAAGAAGGUACUUUGUACGGAGCAGGGAUAGCUGAUUAAUAACAAGUCAUGGGAAGGAUUUAUAUCCUGCACACCAGGACAAGCCAUUUUUCCAUCAGUCCCCACUGCGCCGACCUGCAGUUUUUUGAAAUUUAAUUUUUUUUCUUAUAUUAUUAAUGUUUUGUAUUCUUAAAAUAUCAAUAAAAAACUUAUAAAA